UUUUUUAAAAAUAUAUAAUUUUUUUUUCAUCAGAGAUCAAAAUUAGUUUUAUUACCUGGAGUAAACAGUGCUACUGCUUUCAUACAUCCCCAUUCACUUCUAUCUGGUGAAAGUUGCCUAAAACGGCAUAUUGUAUCCUAAAAGCUUCGUCCGGUAAUCUUGCUCGUACCUGUUCAUCCUCCAAUAAGCCGGUAAUAUUCCAAGAUAUAGACCAUUGUGCUAGAUGAAGAAGAAAAAGUUGUGUCCAGGAACCUUCGAGUAAUAAUAAUUGAUCGUUCUUCGAAAGCGAUUGGAAUAGAGUUACCUGUAAUAGUUCUCGCGUGGGAUUGGGAUUUGGUAAAGUUCCCGAAGAAUUAUGACUACCUUCUGUUUGCUCUAAAGAAUAUUCCGUUUCCGAUUGUAAUGGUGCAUUCCAUACGAGUUCCUUAUAAAUGAAAAACAAACGAAUAUUUAAAAAUAAAAUAGAUUUCAUUAGAUCAUUAGAUUUAUUAGAUCUCAUAGAUAAUCAAUAUAAUCAAUAAUAGAUAAAUAUAAAAUAAAAAUAAAAAAUAUAAAUAUAAAAAUAAAUCCUAAAUAAAAACAUGAUAUAUUCACAAUCAGUUACGUUUAAUUUAUCAGUUUCAUCGUGUGAAAACGGUGAAAUUUGUCAGAUUGCUGAUUAUAAAGUUUGCA